GACAUGCAAGUGGUAGGAAGCCGAAAGGUGACGGACCCUUCGGGAGCUUGCACAGGUGCUGCAUGGCUGUCGUCAGCUCGUGUCGUGAGAUGUUCGGUUAAGUCCGCUAACGAGCGCAACCCUCGCUGUGUGUUAUAUGUGUCACACGGGACUGCCGGUCUUAAGCCGGAGGAAGGUGGGGAUGAUGUCAAGUCAGCAUGGCCUUUAUAUCCUGGGCUACACACACGCUACAAUGGCCAACACAAUAGGUUGCUAAGCCGCGAGGUGGCGCCAAUCCAUAAAGUUGGUCUCAGUUCAGAUUGUAGGCUGCAACCCGCCUGCAUGAAGAUGGAGUUGCUAGUAACCGCAGGUCAGCUAUACUGCGGUGAAUACGUUCCCGGGGCUU
rnacentral:rRNA from 1 species